rfam:Equus caballus chromosome 17, whole genome shotgun sequence.
GUGGUUGCCGGGCGGGGGUUCUCUACUAGUGCUGUGCAGAGGCUUUCGCUGAGGCUGCUGUGAGACUGUAGAAUUUCCCCCUGGGCCACGGAGCCGG